GACAGAGGUGCCAAGCGUUAGGCGGAAUCACUGGGCUUAAAGCGUGUGUAGGCGGGCGAUCAAGUACCUUGUGAAAUCCCACGGCUCAACCGUGGAACUGCUGGGUAUACUGGUUGUCUUGAGCCAGCUAGGGGCGAGCGGAACAGACGGUGGAGCGGUGAAAUGCGUAGAUAUUAGGAGGAACACCGGUGGCGAAGGCGGCUAUCUGGACGACAACUGACGCUGAGGCGCGAAAGCACGGGGAUCAAACAGG
rnacentral:rRNA from 1 species